AUACUAGUUGAAAAUACAAAAAUGAAAGAGAGAUAUAAAUGAGUCAACUUGUAACUUAUAUAUUGACUAAACUAGUACCCCUAACUAACUCUAAAAUGAGUAUAACUACUUAUAUUUUAACAAUACUUAAACACUCUUAGUAAAAACAUCUCUAAAUUGUCAUGUCUCAAAAUCAUAAUACAUCACCAAAUAUAAAAUAUCAUCUCAACAGUUGAGUCAUAAAACAACAAAUAGUCAUAAGACUCCAAACAGAAAGACAUCCUAAUCAGAGUCGACACACUAGACUCCGAAAAAGCCGUAAACGAGGAAGCUCUGAGCUUUCCUCAAGCAACUCACCAAUGCAAAGCAACUACUCAUGCACGCCGUCUACCCAUCCAUACGAAUAAGGUAGGCGGUCAACUAAAUGACCACUAGGGGUUAAUUCAUAAUUCACAAUUAAACAUAAUCAAUGAAAAUAAAUGAUACAAUUAAUUUCAAUUGAUUAGGCAACUCAACAUCAUUAAUAUCCAACAAGUAUACGAAUAUAGAUAUUCACUACACAUUCCUACAUAUUCAUAGGUUCAUCAAGUUUCACCAAGUAAUACAAUUCAACAAGUAUACAAAUCAACCUGCAAAUAUUCAUCGAGCACAUAAGCAAUUAUAACACCUGUCAAGUUAUGCAAUGCGCCUAGACACGACUCUAUAUGCAUUGUGGUACCGGUCACCUCAAGGUCGUCACCUUAGAUACAUAUGUAUCAUAGUCGUCGCCAAUAUGAAUACAAAUUAUUCGUCGUCGCCAAUAUGGAUAUACAUUUCAACACCAACAUCAUGAAUGCAUGAACAUAUGACUCAAUCAAUGCAUAUGUCCAACAACAAGUCGUCAACAAUCAACAUCGACAAUUUUCAAUACAUGCAUAAACCGUCAAAGUCGUCGCCAAUUGCAUGUAAGAAUUCACCAACACAAUUCAUCAUCAUCAUAAUUAAUCAACAACAAUCAACUUAUAGAACAUAUGGUUCCAAAAUCACAAUCUUCACAAAAUACGGCCAAUUGAUCACAUCACAUCUUUCAUCUAAAUAAAUACUCAAACAUCUUCAACUCAUUCAUAUUCUAGCGUAUCAUUACAAAUAUAAAGUAAGUUGUAAGUUAACUGACCCUAAAAGUCCUAUUUGACAAGGUUCACCUAUAUUUGCGAAGACUAGCAUUUUUCA
rnacentral:lncRNA from 1 species